rnacentral:tRNA from 1 species
CCCCGGGUGGCUCAGUCAGUUGAGCGUCCGACUUCGGCUCAGGUCAUGAUCUCGCGGUUUGUGGGUUCGAGCCCCGCGUCGGGGU